UGCUUUACGUCGGACCGCACAGUGGAAGCUUACAGAUCACCUAGAUUACUAAAGAAACAUCAUGGGUUGAGGGGGGGGGGAGACUUUCACAAGUACAAGUUUGAGAACCACUACCCUAAUCUGCACUUGAAUAAAACCUGCUAGUUAUGAUUUCCUUGAUGUAAAAGACGGAUGUUUAUGUUCCUUCAGAGUUGAAGAUAGUUUACUUCCUAGUCCAAGCCUCCCGCAGGAUGACGGGAGGUGGGGAGCGGGCAGGGUUUGAACCCGAGACCAUCGAUAAAUCCAAAUGACAGUCCGCAAACCACACGACCAGGCAGCCAUUCUGAGACUUCCUGAGACUUGACACUUUCUUUAAUGCACUCACUUCUCUUUCAUGUGUAAUAGCAAGUCCACAAUACUUCAUCGUCUUCAAAAUGUUACUGGCAGAUCUGAAAGUUAAAUAAAGUUGACUAUUAAUAUUUUUUAAAUAAAAUGCAAACUGUAAAUAAAUAUAAUAGUAUCAAACAUU